GCCGCUCGCGGCUGUUGGGACCGCGGUGACGUCAGGCGCGCCGCUGCCACUCACUCCGCGGCUGGUGCGGCGCUAUUUGUGCGGUCUCGCCUGGUCCCGUCCGCUCCGUCCCAACCGGUGCCCGGUCCACUCGAGAAGAGGUGAGGCUCGGCGGCCCGGGCCGGCCAAGCUGGGACCAGAGAGGGGGUAUAUUCUGCAGUUCCCUAAUGAACCCAGGGAACCCUCCACCGUAUUCGGGCCCUGGCCCGACGGCCCCGUACCCACCUUAUCCACAACAACCAAUGGGGCCUGAAGCCUACCCUCCAGGACCUAUGGGAGGACCUUACCCCCCUCCUCAGGGGUACCCCUACCAAGGAUACCCACAGUAUGGCUGGCAAGGCGGACCUCAGGAGCCUCCUAAAACCACAGUGUACGUGAUUCAACAGGAAAGGAAGAAGGAUGACAUCGGGUGUCAGGCGGCCUUGGCUGCGUGCUGGGCCACCCUCUGCUGCUGCUGCCUCCUGGACAACUUGGACUGAGCAGCCACAACCCAAGUGCUCCUUCCAGGCAUGCUGCCUCCUGUAACUGGAAUAAACAACUAGUGCCACACAAUUUCCAUUUUAUCUUUCUUUGACAAAUACCUAAUUUGCAGAUUUUUAAAUUUUAGCACCUGUGAUGGGUGUGAAAUGGUAUCUCACUAUUCCAGUUUACCUUCCCUCGUUUUUAGUGACCUUGAAUAUAUUGGUGAUUUGCUUUUACAAAUCUUUUGAAUUGCCUUUGUAUCUUCUUAGCCCCCCCCCCUUUUUUUCUAUUUGUUUGUCUUUUCUUACUGAUUUGUAGGGAGUUUUUAAAUAUUCCACAUACUAGCAUGUUACUGUUACAUGUUUGCAAAUAUCUUCUCCCUUUCUCUCAAUCUUUCUUAUGGUGUAUUUUCUAGUAUGAAAGUUUUUAAAUGUCAUAUUUAUCAUCUUUCCCUCAUGCUUUAUGUGCUUUAGUCUUUGAAAACUAACUUUCUAUUCUAAGAACAUAAAGAUAAGCCUAUAUUUUCUUCUAAAAUUUUUCACAUAGAAUCUUUAGUCCACCUAAAUUUAUUUUUGAUCAUGGUAUAGGAUAAAGUUCUGGCUUUCUUUUUCCAUUUUGAUAGUUCCAACACCAUGUAUUGAUUAGGUCAUCCUUUACCCAUUGAUUUGAAAAGAGAUUUGUCAUAUACCAAGUUUCCAAUAAACAACUGGGCUAGAAUCAGAAGUCUGGUAUGUUAAACAUCUUCCCAGCCCUGGCACAUGCCUGUUUUUCUUCCUCAGAAUUUUCUUGGCUAUUCUUGGUCUUUCACUCUUUAAUCUGGAUUUUAGGAUGAGUGUGUGUCAGUUUCUGUGGAAAAGCACCACGUUUGGCUUUAACUGGGAUGACAUGUAAUUUACAGAGUACUUGGGCAAAGAGUUGACAUACUUACAGGAUUGUCUUCCUAUCAUGAACAUGUUAUCUCUCCACUUUUGUCUUUUAAAUCCAUCAAUAAAGUCAGAUAAUUUUCUUCA